UACAGAGACUGCAAGCGUUAUUCGGAUUCACCGGGCGUAAAGGGUGCGCAGGCGGCCAAGUGUGUGAGGCGUGAAAGCCCGGGGCUUAACCCCGGAAUUGCACCUCAAACUACAUGGCUAGAGCAUUGGAGAGGGUAGCAGAAUUCACGGUGUAGCAGUGAAAUGCGUAGAUAUCGUGAGGAAUACCAGAGGCGAAGGCGGCUACCUGGACAAUUGCUGACGCUCAGGCACGAAAGCGUGGGGAGCAAAAGGG
rnacentral:rRNA from 1 species